AGGUGAUAUGAACCGUUAUAACCGGCGAUUUCCGAAUGGGGAAACCCAGUGUGUUUCGACACACUAUCAUUAACUGAAUCCAUAGGUUAAUGAGGCGAACCGGGGGAACUGAAACAUCUAAGUACCCCGAGGAAAAGAAAUCAACCGAGAUUCCCCCAGUAGCGGCGAGCGAACGGGGAGGAGCCCAGAGCCUGAAUCAGUGUGUGUGUUAGUGGAAGCGUCUGGAAAGGCGCGCGAUACAGGGUGACAGCCCCGUACACAAAAAUGCACAUAUUGUGAGCUCGAUGAGUAGGGCGGGACACGUGGUAUCCUGUCUGAAUAUGGGGGGACCAUCCUCCAAGGCUAAAUACUCCUGACUGACCGAUAGUGAACCAGUACCGUGAGGGAAAGGCGAAAAGAACCCCGGCGAGGGGAGUGAAAAAGAACCUGAAACCGUGUACGUACAAGCAGUGGGAGCCUCUUUAUGGGGUGACUGCGUACCUUUUGUAUAAUGGGUCAGCGACUUAUAUUCUGUAGCAAGGUUAACCGAAUAGGGGAGCCGAAGGGAAACCGAGUCUUAACUGGGCGUUAAGUUGCAGGGUAUAGACCCGAAACCCGGUGAUCUAGCCAUGGGCAGGUUGAAGGUUGGGUAACACUAACUGGAGGACCGAACCGACUAAUGUUGAAAAAUUAGCGGAUGACUUGUGGCUGGGGGUGAAAGGCCAAUCAAACCGGGAGAUAGCUGGUUCUCCCCGAAAGCUAUUUAGGUAGCGCCUCGUGAAUUCAUCUCCGGGGGUAGAGCACUGUUUCGGCAAGGGGGUCAUCCCGACUUACCAACCCGAUGCAAACUGCGAAUACCGGAGAAUGUUAUCACGGGAGACACACGGCGGGUGCUAACGUCCGUCGUGAAGAGGGAAACAACCCAGACCGCCAGCUAAGGUCCCAAAGUCAUGGUUAAGUGGGAAACGAUGUGGGAAGGCCCAGACAGCCAGGAUGUUGGCUUAGAAGCAGCCAUCAUUUAAAGAAAGCGUAAUAGCUCACUGGUCGAGUCGGCCUGCGCGGAAGAUGUAACGGGGCUAAACCAUGCACCGAAGCUGCGGCAGCGACACUAUGUGUUGUUGGGUAGGGGAGCGUUCUGUAAGCCUGUGAAGGUGGCCUGUGAGGGUUGCUGGAGGUAUCAGAAGUGCGAAUGCUGACAUAAGUAACGAUAAAGCGGGUGAAAAGCCCGCUCGCCGGAAGACCAAGGGUUCCUGUCCAACGUUAAUCGGGGCAGGGUGAGUCGACCCCUAAGGCGAGGCCGAAAGGCGUAGUCGAUGGGAAACAGGUUAAUAUUCCUGUACUUGGUGUUACUGCGAAGGGGGGACGGAGAAGGCUAUGUUGGCCGGGCGACGGUUGUCCCGGUUUAAGCGUGUAGGCUGGUUUUCCAGGCAAAUCCGGAAAACCAAGGCUGAGGCGUGAUGACGAGGCACUACGGUGCUGAAGCGACAAAUGCCCUGCUUCCAGGAAAAGCCUCUAAGCAUCAGGUAACAUCAAAUCGUACCCCAAACCGACACAGGUGGUCAGGUAGAGAAUACCAAGGCGCUUGAGAGAACUCGGGUGAAGGAACUAGGCAAAAUGGUGCCGUAACUUCGGGAGAAGGCACGCUGAUAUGUAGGUGAAGCGACUUGCUCGUGGAGCUGAAAUCAGUCGAAGAUACCAGCUGGCUGCAACUGUUUAUUAAAAACACAGCACUGUGCAAACACGAAAGUGGACGUAUACGGUGUGACGCCUGCCCGGUGCCGGAAGGUUAAUUGAUGGGGUUAGCGGUAACGCGAAGCUCUUGAUCGAAGCCCCGGUAAACGGCGGCCGUAACUAUAACGGUCCUAAGGUAGCGAAAUUCCUUGUCGGGUAAGUUCCGACCUGCACGAAUGGCGUAAUGAUGGCCAGGCUGUCUCCACCCGAGACUCAGUGAAAUUGAACUCGCUGUGAAGAUGCAGUGUACCCGCGGCAAGACGGAAAGACCCCGUGAACCUUUACUAUAGCUUGACACUGAACAUUGAGCCUUGAUGUGUAGGAUAGGUGGGAGGCUUUGAAGUGUGGACGCCAGUCUGCAUGGAGCCGACCUUGAAAUACCACCCUUUAAUGUUUGAUGUUCUAACGUUGGCCCGUAAUCCGGGUUGCGGACAGUGUCUGGUGGGUAGUUUGACUGGGGCGGUCUCCUCCUAAAGAGUAACGGAGGAGCACGAAGGUUGGCUAAUCCUGGUCGGACAUCAGGAGGUUAGUGCAAUGGCAUAAGCCAGCUUGACUGCGAGCGUGACGGCGCGAGCAGGUGCGAAAGCAGGUCAUAGUGAUCCGGUGGUUCUGAAUGGAAGGGCCAUCGCUCAACGGAUAAAAGGUACUCCGGGGAUAACAGGCUGAUACCGCCCAAGAGUUCAUAUCGACGGCGGUGUUUGGCACCUCGAUGUCGGCUCAUCACAUCCUGGGGCUGAAGUAGGUCCCAAGGGUAUGGCUGUUCGCCAUUUAAAGUGGUACGCGAGCUGGGUUUAGAACGUCGUGAGACAGUUCGGUCCCUAUCUGCCGUGGGCGCUGGAGAACUGAGGGGGGCUGCUCCUAGUACGAGAGGACCGGAGUGGACGCAUCACUGGUGUUCGGGUUGUCAUGCCAAUGGCACUGCCCGGUAGCUAAAUGCGGAAGAGAUAAGUGCUGAA
rnacentral:rRNA from 1 species